rnacentral:rRNA from 1 species
AACGGGUGGUAAUGCCGGAUGCUCCAGUUGGAUGCAUGUCCUUCUGGGAAAGAUUCAUCGGUAUGGGAUGGGGUCGCGUCCUAUCAGCUUGAUGGCGGGGUAACGGCCCACCAUGGCUUCGACGGGUAGCCGGCCUGAGAGGGCGACCGGCCACAUUGGGACUGAGAUACGGCCCAGACUCCUACGGGAGGCAGCAGUGGGGAAUAUUGCACAAUGGGCGCAAGCCUGAUGCAGCGACGCCGCGUGCGGGAUGACGGCCUUCGGGUUGUAAACCGCUUUUGACUGGGAGCAAGCCCUUCGGGGUGAGUGUACCUUUCGAAUAAGCACCGGCUAACUACGUGCCAGCAGCCGCGGUAAUACGUAGGGUGCAAGCGUUAUCCGGAAUUAUUGGGCGUAAAGGGCUCGUAGGCGGUUCGUCGCGUCCGGUGUGAAAGUCCAUCGCUUAACGGUGGAUCCGCGCCGGGUACGGGCGGGCUUGAGUGCGGUAGGGGAGACUGGAAUUCCCGGUGUAACGGUGGAAUGUGUAGAUAUCGGAA